GGCUAGCCUUACUGUUAUUAACCUUUAAUAAUUAGUCGUCACGUUCGGUGCACGUAUUUACAUAAAAUAAUGGCCACCAUGUGAUACCAUUAUUAUAUUGUUUUUAUUCUCUCCAGAAACUUCAUGCUUCCUCCAUAUCAGUUUCUUUCUCUUAAAGCUUUGCAAGUCUCCCAGAUCAUAUCGCCUGACUUACCGAAAAAAAAAUGGUUGCAGCAGAUGAGCUGAUUGAGGAUUAUUGGCCUUUCAAAUUCAGAAAACCUUCAGCGAAAAAUCUUUCUUAUGCGUUGAAAGAUGUCAAUAUCUCUAGUGUUGGAGUUUCUGGCAUGGGUGGAGUGGGGAAGAAUACUUUUUCCAAGGAAGUUGGUAGGAAAGCCAUUGAAUAUCUCCUCAAGGUUUUUGUAGAGGUAUCAGAAACUCCAGAUCUAGAAAGGAUUCAAUGAGCUAGCUCACAGGAGUUAGAUCUUGAAAGAUUGAUUAAGAGUAAUAAGAUACUCUUAAUUUUGGAUGAUGUUUGGAAUGAUCUAGAUCUGAGGACUGUUGGAAUUCCUCCUAUAGCUUGGAGGAUCUUCAGGAAAACUCCAGGUGAUGUUAUUGAAUCACCUGGAAUGAUAUAUGCAAGGAUGUGAAGGAUUACCUAUUGCCAUUUGAACUAUAAAAAGGGCAUUGAAGAACAUGACAAAUUGGUUUGAAUGGCAAGUUGUCUCGCGAGAAUUGAGAAUGCCUUCACUAACAAAGUUCAUGCAUUUUCCCAGAAGAUCAUGAAAUCAAAAUAAUUUUUUAUGCAUCUAAUAUAAUAGAAAAUGAUCCGUUUCAAACUCGUUCAAGCAUAUUGUGAGUAUGGACAUACUUGAAGGAGUUAACCUUACAAUGGAGUAAGCACGAAAUAGACUAGAUAAAGUGGUUUCGAACUCAAAGCCUCUUGAUUGGUAUUCAACAAUAUAAAUUAGAUGAAGUGGUUGGUGAACUCAAAGACUCUUGUUUGUUACUUGAUGAAGUGACUAGGUAAAGUGGUUCAUCAGCACUCAUAGACACUUGAUUUAAAGUGGUUCAUGAGCUCAAAGACUCUUGAUUGUUACUUACUGUUCCAUUAGUUAACAAUAUCCUAUUCAUGAUGUUGUUCAUGAUGUUAUGAUAACAAUUAGCUUUCAGUCUUAUGGUUAUACGGAACUUGAAUUUUUCUACUAAUAUGGAGGUUCCUUAAACUUUCCAGAUAAUUUUUCAAGGUAUUGCAAAAGCUGAAAGUCUUAAAUUUGUUUAUAAUGUUGCUACCAUUGUUGCUGCUAUUGUUUGGCCUCCUGAUAAAUGUUCAAAUAUUGGGUUUAGAUUAUAGCAGGAAUAGAAAGUGCUGCUAUUAUCGGAGAACCGAAGAAACUAAAAGUCCUCAGUAAGGAGUCAAGAAUCAGGUUGAUUGACUCAACUAAGGUUGUUAGAUUCAAACAAAUGGGAGCAAUUUGAAGUUAUUGCUCCAUGUAUAAUAUCUAGCUCAUUUCAAAGUAAGUGUACAAGGGGAAACUCUGUUGAAUGGAAAUGUAAUGUCAAAAGGUUGGCCCUGUUCAUCCAUUUGCUCAAUUGUUAACAUGUGGUUGGGCAUUUAUUAUGUUCUCUUUUUGCAUCUAUUAUUAUCUUGUAAUAGAAAUGUUUUGUUGAAUUUCAUCAAUAAUGGCGUACAAUUUCAUUUUUGGU